UCCGAAGUAGCUCAGUUGGUAGAGCAUCCGGCUGUUAACCGGCAGGUCGCAGGUUCGAGUCCUGCCUUCGGAGCCA
rnacentral:tRNA from 12 species